CACGUAGGGGGCAAGCGUUGUCCGGAUUUAUUGGGCGUAAAGAGCUCGUAGGCGGUUCGGUAAGUCGGGUGUGAAACCUCCAGGCUCAACCUGGAGACGCCACCUGAUACUGCUGUGACUCGAGUCCGGUAGGGGAGCGUGGAAUUCCUGGUGUAGCGGUGAAAUGCGCAGAUAUCAGGAGGAACACCAGCGGCGAAGGCGGCGCUCUGGGCCGGAACUGACGCUGAGGAGCGAAAGCGUGGGUAGCAAACAGG
rnacentral:rRNA from 2 species